rnacentral:lncRNA from 1 species
AAUGAAUGCAUGAAUGAGGAGGGCAAAUUUUGGGGUGUUACAGCUGCCCCUAUUCAAUCAUCAGCUAAACCGAGUAGGAUGAAAGCGAACAGCUUAUCAGACAAACGGGGUGAGCUGUGAUUGAACACCAAAGAUAGACCGAAAAUUUGCGCUCCGAGAACACCACAAAAACACGGAAAUACACCGUGCUGUUUAUUUUUCUUCUGAUCCUCUGGCUUAAUCUGGAGUUUCGAUCCUCUGGCUGAACCUAUACUCAAUUUAGUCCUCUGGUUGG